AUUAUAAUUCGUCCUGCUAUCCAGUGCAAAAAACGAUGACAGAAAUCGAAAUAGUUGUUCCAGAUCUUACCAAUAACAAACGAGAUUCUAGCCGCAAAAGGAAGUUUUAUAAAUAUAUGGUAUUGAAUCACACAUCUUGUAAAUGCGGCAGACUCGAUGAGAGGAACCUUUAUAACACCUCAUCCAACAACCUUGUGUCAGAGAGUUAUUUCAUGAAAAAUUAUCGCCAAAAUCCAAAUAAUUUGCAAAGUGAACGUAAUUUUUGCAACAAGUCGCAAACAAGAUAUAAACUUCAUCCAAACCAUAAUCUUGUCAUGUACUCCUCGAAAUAUUUGGCGUACAAACAGUGUCUGCCUGGUUGCGUAGUGAUAACCUUUGAGGAUAGAGUUAUUUUCACAGCACUUAUUACUGGAGAAUCUAAAAGGGUCGUCCUCAAAAGCGAUCUGAAAUGCAAAGCAUAUGACAAUCCAAUGUCAAGCGAGGGUUCCUGUUGAACAACCCUGGAGAUCCAUUUUAUCAAGUGAAAGGAAACGUGAAUGUUACUUGUGGAAUUGUGC